GACGAACGCUGGCGGCGUGCUUAACACAUGCAAGUGGUGCGACGAACCAGGCUUCGGCCUGGGGCAAAGCCGCGAACGGGUGAGUAACACGUGGGUAACCUGCCCCGAUGACCGGGACAACCCGAGGAGACUCGGGCUAAUACCGGAUGCGCUGCCCUCACACCAGUGAGGGUCGGAAAGGAAGCUUCGGCCUCCGCAUCGGGAUGGGCCCGCGGCCCAUUAGCUUGUUGGUGAGGUAACGGCNCACCAAGGCUGCGAUGGGUAGCUGGUCUGAGAGGACGGAUCAGCCACACUGGGACUGAGACACGGCCCAGACUCCUACGGGAGGCAGCAGUGGGGAAUCUUGCGCAAUGCGCGAAAGCGUGACGCAGCAACGCCGCGUGGGGGAAGAAGGCC
rnacentral:rRNA from 1 species